GGCUCUGUUCAUCCAAGGCCACCAGCCCCGACCUUCUGCAGCAGCUUGACUUGUUAAGAACCUUGGAAUCUUUCCACUCACAAGUGUAUUUCCCAAAUCCCAGAGAGGGCUGAUACAGAACAGAGGCUCACAUGGCUGUCUGCACAUUGGAGCAUGAACUGUGUGGCCCAUCUAGGCCCUAGACUCUGUCAAGUAUAGACGCUGCUGCUGCUGCUGCUGUUGCUGCUGUGGCAGUGGAGGCUGCUGCUGCCUGGCGACCACUCUUGGAGAAUCACUGGUAUGAAGGAAGCCAGGUUGCAGAGUUGGUGGUCAGACAGAGGAAGUAUGGGUAGAGGCCUGGAGCUCUACUGGAUUCUGCUGUGGCUCAGCUUUCUUAUCCUCAAAUGUGAAGAACAGCAGGCUACCUACUGCUGGGGGUCAUAAGGACUUCAGGGCACGGGAGGGAUCAGAACUGUCCUGCCACCUGGCUCUUUCCACAGAUGUUUGCUGAGCCAGCACCAUGCUCCUUCCCCGAUGUGUCCGGGGCCCAGUUCUCAUGGGCUUCAUGGAUCCUUCCACCCCCUUGAGGGACAGGCUGUCCUCUGGGCAUGGAUGGGAGGUAGCACGGGAGGGGUCAAGCCAUGGCUUGGUCUCUCUUUACCAAGUAUGCUUAUCCUUGAAGGAGGAGACCGCAGGAGCCUAGCUUCUCCUCCUGACUGUGGAACCCCUUCAACUCCAUUAGACUCCAGCCCUCACUUAUAGUUACUAUAUUCAGAAAGCGGAACUCGAGAGCAGCAUAUUGGAAUCUCACACUAGCCCACUCUGUACCACUUGGGAUAAGACUCAUCCCUUGGCCGAGUUCAAUGCUGUGGGCUAUGCUCACAGUUACUGAGGAAUGGUCUUGGUGUUCAGAUCAACUGUGCAUCCUGCCAGUGCUCCCAUUAGAUGACCCUUCUCAGACUUAAUAAUGGGACGAGAUGAGGCUGCGACUUGGAAGCCUCACAGAGGGCUGUGGAGAGCUCCCUUCAGGUGAAAAGGUUCACUCAUAUACGGUAAGGAAAAGGCAGUCUGAGGUUGUUGCUAACGUUCCGCAAGAAGAAAUCUGCUCCUGACGCUUCAAAGGAGGAAAAGGAAUUUCGGGCUAAUCAUGUCACAUGUCAAACUGCAAACGUUCUGCCCAGGGUUUGUGGAGGGAUGGGAAAGGCAUACACACUGGGAAGCUGCACUGGGCAGCUUGCACUAACAGACUCAUUGGUCCAGUCAGGGUUCUCCAGCCGCCUGUGGAUUUUGGACUGUCACCUGCCAGAGAGGGUGCAACGGGAAAGGAAAUCAGGGCCAGAACACCUGGGGAGGUGGGUGAAGGCUGUGAUGAAAUUCCUUGGAAGAUUCAUUUGCCUUGGUAAAAUCACCAGGACUAGAUGCUGGAGCAGAAUGAAGAAGUCAGAGAAGAAAGCUUUCGGCUACACAGUAAGGUAGAGAACUCCUGUUUCUGGUCCUGCUUCUCUUUAGUGGCAGCAGGGCCUACUCCAGAGUUUUUGUGAGGACCGGUGGAUGAAAUGGAAGUCAUUCACGUGUAGGAAGUGCUCACUAAAUGACCCCUUAUUGUUAGCUCUGUGUGCUACUCAGCGUGCAGAACCUCAAGAGCGAGGGAAAGAGAAAUUUGUGUGCAUGUAAGAUGGCCAAACCCAGGGUUGGCUCAGAGUCUGUUUGCAGGAGUGGUGGGGGCUUUGCACACUCAAAGAGAAACUGGAGAAGGCAGGGACAAGUGUGCAAGACCAGGAGGGACACUGACGACUUCCUUGCAUUGCUGUGAUAAAGCCACUAUGACCAAAAGCAAUCUGGGGGAGGGAAAGAUGACUUCAUUUUAUAACACAGUCCUUAAUGAAGGGAAAGUGAGGCAGGAACUCAAGACAGAAACCUGGAGGGUGGAGCUGAGCUGGAGAUGACAGAGACACACUGUUUAUCGGUUUCCUCCCCUCGGCUUGCUCAGCCUUCUUUCUUCUAUACUCCAGGGCCACCCAUCUAGGGAGAGCACUGCUCACAGUGGGCUGGGCCCGUCCACAUCACUCAUUGAGCAAGGAAAUGUCCUGAAGGCUUGCUCACAGGCCACUCUGAUGGAGACAUCUUCCCAACCCUGUGUUCUCCUUCCAGAUGGCCCUGGCUUGUAGCAAGUUGACAACAACAACCAGAAAAUCACUAAGUGGUUCAUAGCCUUUGCAUCUGAAUUGAUCUGUCCCUCAGCCUCAGUAAUGCACUGGCCCACACUGGUCUGCUUGCCCCUCUGGGGAGGUGGACUUUAGAGAGCAAAAGACCCUGGCUUUGUGUCAAGUGUAGACAUGUGACAGAGACUGGUUCAGGG
rnacentral:lncRNA from 1 species